AGAGUUUGAUCCUGGCUCAGAUUGAACGCUGGCGGUAUGCUUAACACAUGCAAGUCGAACGGAAACGAAACUAGCUUGCUAGUAGGCGUCGAGUGGCGGACGGGUGAGUAACGCGUAGGAAUCUGCCUGAUAGUGGGGGAUAGCCCGAAGAAAUUCGGAUUAAUACCGCAUAAUCUAUUCGUAGUAAAGUGGGGGACUUUCGAGCCUCACGCUAUCAGAUGAGCCUGCGUAAGAUUAGCUUGUUGGUAGGGUAAAAGCCUACCAAGGCAACGAUCUUUAGCUGGUCUGAGAGGAUGAUCAGCCACAUCGGGACUGAGACACGGCCCGAACUCCUACGGGAGGCAGCAGUGGGGAAUAUUGGACAAUGGGGGCAACCCUGAUCCAGCAAUACCGCGUGUGUGAAGAAGGCCUGAGGGUUGUAAAGCACUUUCAAUUGUGAAGAAAAGUUAACGGUUAAUAACCGUUGACCUUGACGUUAACUUUAGAAGAAGCACCGGCUAACUCCGUGCCAGCAGCCGCGGUAAUACGGAGGGUGCAAGCGUUAAUCGGAAUUACUGGGCGUAAAGCGUGCGUAGGCGGUUUAUUAAGUCAGAUGUGAAAGCCCCGGGCUUAACCUGGGAACUGCAUUUGAAACUGGUCAACUAGAGUAUGGUAGAGGAAAGUGGAAUUUCUGGUGUAGCGGUGAAAUGCGUAGAUAUCAGAAGGAACAUCAAUGGCGAAGGCAGCUUUCUGGACCAAUACUGACGCUGAGGUACGAAAGCGUGGGUAGCAAACAGGAUUAGAUACCCUGGUAGUCCACGCCGUAAACGAUGAUAACUAGCCGUUGGGGGGAUUUACCCCUUAGUGGCGAAGCUAACGCGUUAAGUUAUCCGCCUGGGGAGUACGGCCGCAAGGCUAAAACUCAAAGGAAUUGACGGGGACCCGCACAAGCGGUGGAGCAUGUGGUUUAAUUCGAUGCAACGCGAAGAACCUUACCUGGUCUUGACAUCCUGCGAACUUUCUAGAAAUAGAUUGGUGCCUUCGGGAACGCAGUGACAGGUGCUGCAUGGCUGUCGUCAGCUCGUGUCGUGAGAUGUUGGGUUAAGUCCCGUAACGAGCGCAACCCCUAUCCUUAUUUGCCAGCACAUUAUGGUGGGAACUAUAAGGAGACUGCCGGUGAUAAACCGGAGGAAGGCGGGGACGACGUCAAGUCAUCAUGGCCCUUACGACCAGGGCUACACACGUGCUACAAUGGGAAGGACAAAGAGCCGCGAAGCCGCGAGGUGUAGCUAAUCUCAUAAAUCUUUUCGUAGUCCGGAUUGGAGUCUGCAACUCGACUCCAUGAAGUCGGAAUCGCUAGUAAUCGUAGAUCAGAAUGCUACGGUGAAUACGUUCCCGGGUCUUGUACACACCGCCCGUCAUACCAUGGGAGUGGGUUGCACCAGAAGUGGCUAGUCUAACUUUGUGAGGACGGUCACCACGGUGUGAUUCAUGACUGGGGUAAAGUCGUAACAAGGUAACC
rnacentral:rRNA from 1 species